CUGGCGGCGUGCCUAACACAUGCAAGUCGAACGGGCCCUUCGGGGCUAGUGGCAGACGGGUGAGUAACGCGUAGGUAAUGUACCUUCCCGCUGGGGAUACCUGUCCGAAAGGAUAGUUAAUACCGAAUGACUUCCCUGGGUGGCAUCGCUUAGGGAACAAACCGUUUAGGGUGGGAAGAUCAGCUUGCGUACUAUCAGCUAGUAGGUGGGGUAACGGCCUACCUAGGCUACGACGGUUAGCCGGUCUGAGAGGAUGAUCGGCCACAUUGGAACUGAAACACGGUCCAGACUCC
rnacentral:rRNA from 1 species